AACAAACGCUGGCGGCGUGUCUUAAGCAUGCAAGUUGAGCGGCAAGGAGGAGAGAUCCUCCCUAGAGCGGCGGACUGGUGAGUAACGCGUGGGUAAUCUAUCGUAGGCAUGGGGAUAGUCACUAGAAAUAGUGGGUAAUACCGAAUACGUUCCAUGAGGGGAGUAUUCAUGGAAGAAAGGGUGCUACGGCACUGGCCUUAGGUGAGCUCGCGUCCCAUUAGCUAGUUGGUGAGGUAAAGGCCCACCAAGGCGAUGAUGGGUAGCCGGCCUGAGAGGGUGUACGGCCACACUGGGACUGAGAUACGGCCCAGACUCCUACGGGAGGCAGCAGCUAAGAAUAUUCCGCAAUGGACGAAAGUCUGACGGAGCGACGCCGCGUGGAUGAAGAAGGCCGAAAGGUUGUAAAGUUCUUUGCUAGGGGAAAUAAGUGAGGAGGGAAUGCCCUCAUGAUGACAAGGACUAGCGAAUAAGCCCCGGCAACUACGUGCCAGCACGG
rnacentral:rRNA from 1 species